rnacentral:rRNA from 1 species
GUAAGGGUUGCUGGAGGUAUCAGAAGUGCGAAUGCUGACAUGAGUAACGUUAAAGCGGGUGAAAAGCCCGCUCGCCGUAAGCCCAAGGUUUCCUGUUCUACGUUCAUCGGAGCAGGGUGAGUCGGCCCCUAAGGUGAGGCUGAGAAGCGUAACUGAUGGGAACAAGGUUAAUAUUCCUUGACCACCGCUGAAUGCGAAGGGGGGACGGAGUAUUGAAGAUCAUCCGGGUGUUGGAUAUCCCGGUUUGCGAGCGUAGGAGGCUGACAGGCAAAUCCGUCAGCGGAUCUCCGAGGCAAAGCAUCGAGCUCUCUUUUGAGCGAAGUGAUUGGAUGUGCUUCCAGGAAAAGCCUCUAAGCUCCAGUUCAGCGGGACCGUACCGCAAACCGACACUGGUGGGCGAGCUGAAUAUGCUCAGGCGCUUGAGAGAACUCAGGAGAAGGAACUCGGCAAAUUGACACCGUAACUUCGGGAUAAGGUGUGCCUUUGUAGCGUGGAGGGAGAAACACCCCGAGCGCGAAGAGGUCUCAGAUAAUCGGUGGCUGCGACUGUUUAUUAAAACCACAGCACUCUGCAAAGACGAAAGUCGACGUAUAGGGUGUGAUGCCUGCCCGAUGCUGGAAGAUUAAUUGAUGGGGUGCAAGCUCCUGAUCGAAGUCCCAGUAAACGGCGGCCGUAACGAUAACGGUCCUAAGGUAGCGAAAUUCCUUGUUGGGCAAGUUCCGACCUGCACGAAUGGCAUAACGAUGGCCACACUGUCUCCUCCUGAGACUCAGUGAAGUUGAAGUGUUUGUGAUGAUGCAAUCUCCCCGCGGCUAGACGGAAAGACCCCAUGAACCUUUACUGUAGCUUUGCAUUGGACUUUGAACCGAUCUGUGUAGGAUAGGCGGGAGCCUGUGAAACCACAACGCCAGUUGUGGCGGAGGCGUCCUUGAAAUACCGCCCUGAUUUGUUUGAGGUUCUAACCUGGGACAGUUAUCCUGUCCGGGGACCGUGCAUGGUAGGCAGUUUGACUGGGGCGGUCUCCUCCUAAAGGGUAACGGAGGAGUGCGAAGGUACGCUAGGUACGGUCGGAAAUCGUGCUGAUAGUGCAAUGGCAAAAGCGUGCUUGACUGCGAGACCCACAAGUCGAGCAGAUACGAAAGUAGGUCAUAGUGAUCCGGUGGCUCUGUAUGGAAGGGCCAUCGCUCAACGGAUAAAAGGUACUCUGGGGAUAACAGGCUGAUACCGCCCAAGAGUUCAUAUCGACGGCGGUGUUUGGCACCCUGAUGUCGGCUCAUCUCAUCCUGGGGCUGUAGCCGGUCCCAAGGGUAUGGCUGUUCGCCAUUUAAAGAGGUACGUGAGCUGGGUUUAAAACGUCGUGAGACAGUUUUGUCCCUAUCUGCCGUGGGCGCUGGAAGAUUGACGGGGGCUGCUCCUAGUACGAGAGGACCGGAGUGGACUCACCUCUGGUGUACCGGUUGUCACGCCAGUGGCAUCGCCGGGUAGCUAUGUGGGGAAGAGAUAACCGCUGAAAGCAUCUAAGCGGGAAACUUGCCUGAAGAUAAGUCUUCCUGGAGGCUAGACCUCCCUAAAGAGUCGUUCGAGACCAGGACGUUGAUAGGAUGGGUGUGUAAGUGCUGUGAGGCACUCAGCUAACCAUUACUAAUUGCUCGUGAAGCUUGAUCU